UCCCUGGUGGCCUAGCUGUUAAGGAUUCAGCAUUGUUAUUGCUGUGGCUCAGGUUCAGUCCCUGGCCUGGGAA
rfam:Sus scrofa isolate TJ Tabasco breed Duroc chromosome 4, whole genome shotgun sequence.